UUCACGGAGAGUUUGAUCCUGGCUCAGAGCGAACGCUGGCGGCGUGGUUGAGGCAUGCAAGUCGAACGAUUGUGUCGGACUGAAGGGCUUGAAGCCGCAAGGCGGAUGGCCUGGAUGAUUGACGCGAGAGUGGCAAACGGGUGCGUAACACGUGGGUAAUCUACCCUGAGGCGGGGGAUAACGUUCCGAAAGGGACGCUAAUACCGCAUAAGCUCACAGGACCGGAAGGUCCAGGGAGCAAAGCUGGGGAUCCGCAAGGACCUGGCACCUUGGGAGGAGCCCGCGUCCUAUCAGCUAGUUGGCGGGGUAACGGCCCACCAAGGCGUUUGACGGGUAGCUGGCCUGAGAGGGUGGUCAGCCACACUGGGACUGAGACACUGCCCAGACUCCUACGGGAGGCUGCAGUCGAGGAUCUUCUCCAAUGGGCGCAAGCCUGAGAAUGCGACGCCGCGUGCAGGAUGAAGGCCUUCGGGUCGUAAACUGCUGUCAGGUGGGAAGAAUACCUGGUCCCCGAAUACGGGACUCGGUUGACGGUACCAUCAGAGGAAGCCACGGCCAACUCCGUGCCAGCAGCCGCGGUAAGACGGAGGUGGCAAGCGUUGCUCGGAAUCAUUGGGUGUAAAGGGUUGGUAGGCGGCCCCGCAAGUCUCGUUUGAAAUCCCGGAGCUUAACUCCGGAACUGGGCGGGAUACUACGGGGCUCG
rnacentral:ncRNA from 1 species